AGCAGCCGCGGUAAUUCCAGCUCCAAUAGCGUAUAUUAAAGUUGUUGCAGUUAAAAAGCUCGUAGUUGAAUUUCGGGAUUGACGUGACGGUCAUGCCUUAAGGGGUAUGAACUGUUGCAGUUGAUUUCUCACCUUCUGGAGAAACUUGAUGUCCUUUAUUGGGUGUCUUGCGGAUCCAGGACCUUUACCUUGAAAAAUUAGAGUGUUUAAAGCAGGCAUUUUUGCUCGAAUACAUUAGCAUGGAAUAAUAGAAUAGGACGGCAUGGUUCUAUUUUGUUGGUUUCUAGGAUCACCGUAAUGAUUAAUAGGGAUAGUUGGGGCAUUAGUAUUCAAUUGUCAGAGGUGAAAUUCUUGGAUUUAUUGAAGACUAACUACUGCGAAAGCAUUUGCCAAGGAUGUUUUACAUUAAUCA
rnacentral:rRNA from 1 species